GUUUGAUCCUGGCUCAGAUUGAACGCUGGCGGCAUGCCUUACACAUGCAAGUCGAACGGUAACGCGAGGCAACCUGGCGACGAGUGGCGAACGGGUGAGUAAUGCAUCGGAACGUGCCCAGUAGUGGGGGAUAGCCCGGCGAAAGCCGGAUUAAUACCGCAUACGACCUACGGGUGAAAGCGGGGGACUCGCAAGAGCCUCGCGCUAUUGGAGCGGCCGAUGUCAGAUUAGCUAGUUGGUGGGGUAAAAGCCUACCAAGGCGAGGAUCUGUAGCUGGUCUGAGAGGACGACCAGCCACACUGGGACUGAGACACGGCCCAGACACCUACGGGAGGCAGCAGUGGGGAAUUUUGGACAAUGGGCGCAAGCCUGAUCCAGCCAUGCCGCGUGCGGGAAGAAGGCCUUCGGGUUGUAAACCGCUUUUGUCAGGGAAGAAACGCUCUGGGCUAAUACCCCGGGGUAAUGACGGUACCUGAAGAAUAAGCACCGGCUAACUACGUGCCAGCAGCCGCGGUAAUACGUAGGGUGCAAGCGUUAAUCGGAAUUACUGGGCGUAAAGCGUGCGCAGGCGGUUAUGCAAGGCAGAUGUGAAAUCCCCGGGCUCAACCUGGGAACUGCAUUUGUGACUGCAUAGCUAGAGUACGGUAGAGGGGGAUGGAAUUCCGCGUGUAGCAGUGAAAUGCGUAGAUAUGCGGAGGAACACCGAUGGCGAAGGCAAUCCCCUGGACCUGUACUGACGCUCAUGCACGAAAGCGUGGGGAGCAACAGGAUUAGAUACCCUGGUAGUCCACGCCCUAAACGAUGUCAACUGGUUGUUGGACGGCUUGCUGUUCAGUAACGAAGCUAACGCGUGAAGUUGACCGCCUGGGGAGUACGGCCGCAAGGUUGAAACUCAAAGGAAUUGACGGGGACCCGCACAAGCGGUGGAUGAUGUGGUUUAAUUCGAUGCAACGCGAAAAACCUUACCUACCCUUGACAUGUCAAGAAUCUUGCAGAGAUGUGAGAGUGCUCGAAAGAGAACUUGAACACAGGUGCUGCAUGGCCGUCGUCAGCUCGUGUCGUGAGAUGUUGGGUUAAGUCCCGCAACGAGCGCAACCCUUGUCAUUAGUUGCUACGAAAGGGCACUCUAAUGAGACUGCCGGUGACAAACCGGAGGAAGGUGGGGAUGACGUCAGGUCCUCAUGGCCCUUAUGGGUAGGGCUACACACGUCAUACAAUGGCCGGUACAGAGGGCUGCCAACCCGCGAGGGGGAGCUAAUCCCAGAAAACCGGUCGUAGUCCGGAUCGCAGUCUGCAACUCGACUGCGUGAAGUCGGAAUCGCUAGUAAUCGCGGAUCAGCUUGCCGCGGUGAAUACGUUCCCGGGUCUUGUACACACCGCCCGUCACACCAUGGGAGCGGGUUCUGCCAGAAGUAGUUAGCCUAACCGCAAGGGGGGCGAUUACCACGGCAGGGUUCGUGACUGGGGUGAAGUCGUAGCAAGGUA
rnacentral:rRNA from 1 species